UGCUAAGAGCCUAAGGAUGUGACUGG
rnacentral:piRNA from 1 species